AUUAAUAUGAAAACAAUGUUAUUUUAGGCAUUAGUUAAAGUAUUAGAGCACCCACAUCCAUGACACUCAUGCUACACUGACAAUAACUUACAUGUGACAAAUACCAUCCGCGAUAUUUUAACUAGCAUUAUGCAGUUAAUUAAUAUGCAUUUUUAGUAAGAAUUCAGGGCUUGCUCUUAUGCUUCGUUUCUUGGCAUAAGAAUACCGGUUAUGGAUCAUAUGCAGAGUAUUAGUCGAACAAAAUAUUUGCACGAGGAUCCUCAUCCUUCCUGUAGCAACCAUCAUAUUCCUGUAUAUGUAUUUUUAGUAAGAAUUUGAUGAGAAACAAGCUGCUUGCAUUAGUAGUUGACUGUAAAGUUGGCACUAUAACAAGAGUAGGACAAAUGCUUACCACACCAAGCCCAGUUCUCUUCGCGAAAUUCAGGGCCUGCUCUUAUGCUUAUGUCUUUAAUCACAGGAAGUAUAUUAGGUGAACAAAAGAUUUGCACGCGGCUCCUCAUCCUCCCUAUAGCUACAAUCAUAUCCCGGCUGUCGACACUAGGAAAUCUCAACAAUAUCUUGAUUCAUAUCCCGCAAAUUUUUCCUCCCUCAUUCGCAUGAGUCAUGAGUCAACAAUAUCUUGAUUCAAGUAUUUGAUAUCUCCAGAACUUGCUUAACAAGUAAUCUCCAUAUCAAAUAAUGUCUUUAGUUUUCUUAAAAACAUGUCUUGCAUAUCUCAUACAAGUCUUGACAUUAUUAAUCUCAAGAAGUGGAUUUGUCUAUUAAAUAUGUAACUGUCAACAAUAACAUUUAAAUAUGAAACUGCAUUCUAUAUGAUCCGGAUAUCACCUCUCUGCAGAGCAAAAUGUCCCACCAUUGGACAGUGUCCCACCGUUGGACACAAUACCCGACUGUUGGGUAUUACUCCGUAGAGUUUUAGGUUCGAUACCCCACCAUUGAGUACUAUUUCGAACCACACCGACACCAAUGCAUGAAUGAAAGCGCUUC
rnacentral:lncRNA from 1 species